CCUUCUCUCCUUCUUUCUUUCCUUCCCCUUCCUUGCUUCUCUGUGUUCCUUGCUGGAGACGGCUGUGAACUCUCAAUUGCUGGGGACCAGAGCUUCAGUGGACCUCACUCCAGCACGUGCUCCACCCACACGCGUGGGCCUGCCUUCACCGGGAUGCAUAAGGCUUCCAAGGGAAACCGCCGAGAUUCCUUGGGACCAGCAAUGUGAUGCAGUGAGGCUGUGGGAGUGAAGAGGAAGCAGCAGCGCCGGCCGACAGGGUGUCUGCUGAGAUUCUGUUUCCUCCAGGUGGCCCUGGGAAGGGGUGGAAGCUGCCCUCACCCAGAGAGCCCAGUGGAACAGCCACUGGUGACCUCCAACCCUAAGGCUCCAGAGUGAUUCCCAGCUUCUACCACUUCACUACUGCCGCACUCCCCUCCUUCCCCGCUCUCUUCCUGCACCUGUUAUGGUUUGAAUUGUGUGCCCCAUCCCCAAAAUAGAGAUAUGUUGAAAUAGAGAAGCUCUUACCCCAA